CCUACGGGUGGCAGCAGUGGGGAAUAUUGCACAAUGGGGGAAACCCUGAUGCAGCGACGCCGCGUGAGUGAUGAAGGAUCUCGGUAUGUAAAGCUCUUUUUAUAGGGGAGAUAAUGACGGUAUCUGACGAAGAAGCCCCGGCUAACUACGUGCCAGCAGCCGCGGUAAUACGUAGGGUGCAAGCGUUAUCCGGAUUUACUGGGUGUAAAGGGGGCGUAGGCGGCAUGACAAGUCUGAUGUGAAAUCCCCGGGCUUAACCCCGGAACUGCGUUGGAAACUGUGCUGCUGGAGUGCGGGAGGGGUAGGCGGAAUUCCUGGUGUAGCGGUGAAAUGCGUAGAUAUUAAGAGGAACACCGAUGGCGAAGGCGGCUUGCUGGACUGUAACUGACGUUGAGGCUCGAAAGCGUGGGGAGCAAACAGGAUUAGAUACCCGAGUAGUC
rnacentral:rRNA from 1 species